rnacentral:rRNA from 1 species
GAUCAUGCUCAGGAUGAACGCUAGCUACAGGCUUAACACAUGCAAGUCGAGGGGAAACGACAUCGAAAGCUUGCUUUUGAUGGGCGUCGACCGGCGCACUGGUGAGUAACGCGUAUCCAACCUGCCCACUACUUGGGGAUAACCUUGCGAAAGUAAGACUAAUACCCAAUGAUAUCUCUAGAAGACAUCUGAAAGGGAUUAAAGAUUUAUCGGUGAUGGAUGGGGAUGCGU